GUACUUGCUUUGGCGGCACAUUUAUUAAAAUUGGAACAAUACAGAGAAGAUUUGCAUGGCCCCUGUGCAAGUACGACACACAAAUUCAUGAAGUAUUACAUAUUUUA
rnacentral:snRNA from 1 species